rnacentral:rRNA from 1 species
AUGCUCAGAAAAAUGAAGACACGGAAGCAUGAACAUGAUGAGGUUCCUCACACAAGCCCAGCCCUUCCAUCUGCUCAAGUCCAGCAACCACAGCUACAACCAACUGUAUCCAAUAACCGCUGCUUUCUUCAUUUUCUACCGUAUUUGAGGCAGCCCAAGGAAAUCACAUAUAAUUCUUGUCAACUGAAACCCAAGGUUGAGGCAAGUGAUUACUUCGAUUCUCCGUCAGCAAAAUCAAUAGGCAAGUUCUUCUCCAAACCUGCACCUGAGCCUACGUACGAAGCUGUUCUGCAGGAGCAACUAAGAGAAACUGAGAACCGCGCAAAGGAACUCAAGCAAGAGUGGCAAACAAGUGGCUGCACUGUAAUUGUUGAUAGUUGGAAGAGCAAGUGUGACAAAAGCUUCGUAAGUGUCCUGGUGCACUGCAGCAAAGGUACGCAGUUCCUCACAUCCAUUGACGUCUCUGAAAUCACUGAGGACUUGGAUGAGCUAGAGUCAAUGCUUUCUCGCGUGGUUGAUGAUGUCGGUGCCCAUAACAUUGUUCAGAUUGUCAUGAAUGACGUGUCACCCCAUAUGCAGAUGGCACGGCAGUAUGUGCUAAAUAAAUAUGACAGUUUUUUCUUCGUGCUAUGUGCUGACCAUUGCAUCAACCUUCUGCUUGAGAAAAUAGCAGCGCUCGAGCAUGUCAGUGAAGUCCUAAUGAAGGCAAGGGAAAUUACAAGGUUUUUAUAUGGCCAUGCACUGCCAAUGAAACUGAAAGGAAGAUAUGUUCAGGUGGAGAUUUUGAGCAGUUCUUAUCUGAGAUUUGUGGCAGUGUUCAUCACAUUAGAGAGGUUAGUUUCUGCAAGAGUAGGUCUGGUGCAGAUGUUCAGCUCGCCUAAGUGGGUUCCCUCUGGUUGGGCUUGUCUUGAUUUGUUUGAGCAUAUCCAGAGCAUAGUAAAGACAGACGAUGAAUUUUGGCAUGCUGCUGCUGAAGUCGUGAAGGUUACAAAACCACUUGUCAGUGUGUUGUAUAAACUGGAAUCUGAUAUCUGUGCGAUGGGUAUCUUGUAUGAAGCCAUGGACAGAGCAAAAGAAGAGAUAUCUCUCAGUGUCGGAUAUGAAAGUGACUUCUAUUGGUGUAUGAUUGACAGGAUAUGGGAUGGUUACUUGCAUAGUCCCCUCCAUGCUGCUGGUCAGAUGCUAAACCCAAGGUUGUUUUACACAGCUGGAUUCCAGCCUGAUGCUGAGAUCAGCAGCGGCAUCGCGGCAUGCACAAUCCAACUGGACAAGGCUCAUUACAAUGCCAGAAAAGCGUCUGCACAAUUGGAAGUGUAUGAAAAGAAGUUGGGCUAUUUCGACACAGAUCCAGCAAUGCAGCAAAUCAUGGAAUUACCACAAGUUGAAUGGUGGUCGACGCACGGGGCUCGCGUGCCCGACCUGCAGACCCUGGCGAGGCGUGUCCUGAGCCAGACGUGCUUCGGCGCAACCAGGUACAACAUCGACUGGAGCCUGUCGGAGAAGCUGCACGCCCAGUGGGACGAGAUGACGCCGCCCGAACAGGAGAGGUUCCGGCAGAAGGAGUACGUCCACUACAACCGCGUCCUCGCCCGCGCCGCCCCUCUCCUGCACGGCUCCUCCGUGAGGCAGCACGACAGGGUGACCAUGGUGCUGCAGGACUGGAUCAGGCCGCAGAAACAGGCCGCUGGGUCGCCACUGACUGAGUGA